rnacentral:rRNA from 1 species
UACGAAGGGGGCUAGCGUUGCUCGGAAUUACUGGGCGUAAAGGGCGCGUAGGCGGACGACUAAGUCGGGGGUGAAAGCCCGGGGCUCAACCUCGGAAAUGCCCUCGAUACUGGUCAUCUUGAGUACGGGAGAGGUGUGUGGAACUCCGAGUGUAGAGGUGAAAUUCGUAGAUAUUCGGAAGAACACCAGUGGCGAAGGCGACACACUGGCCCGUUACUGACGCUGAGGCGCGAAAGCGUGGGGAGCAAACAGG